rnacentral:lncRNA from 1 species
GAUACGUACGAAGCAGUGCACCCUCCUAUCUUGUACCAGUACAAGCGCAGAGCCCAAAAGGAGUGACAGAAGGACAGUCUGAGUUUGGCCCAUGAGUGUUGGUACUCAUUGAGUGAUGCUUUAUGGAUAAGGAAUAAAAGAAUAACGGUAUUAUGCUGAGUCAUCGACAGAGCACGUGAUCUUGUUGGUCAGGUGAAGAGCAUGAGGAGGUCAUCAACCAUACGGAGAGUAGUAUAAGUAGAGAGAGGGGAGAAUAGAAAUGGGUAUCAGUUGUAUUGUCAAUCUUGUUCAUGAAGGAGAGUGAGUAAACUCCAAAGAAAAACUCGCUGUACUUCGUUCAUUGAUUAAUACAACGUUCGUUCUUCC